AGAACGGACGCUGGCGGCAUGCCUAAUACAUGCAAGUCGAACGAACUCUUCGGAGUUAGUGGCGCACGGGUGCGUAACGCGUGGGAAUCUGCCCCUUGGUUCGGAAUAACAGUUGGAAACGACUGCUAAUACCGGAUGAUGACGAAAGUCCAAAGAUUUAUCGCCAAGGGAUGAGCCCGCGUAGGAUUAGCUAGUUGGUGAGGUAAAGGCUCACCAAGGCAACGAUCCUUAGCUGGUCUGAGAGGAUGAUCAGCCACACUGGGACUGAGACACGGCCCAGACUCCUACGGGAGGCAGCAGUAGGGAAUAUUGGACAAUGGGCGAAAA
rnacentral:rRNA from 1 species